UAGCUGCGUUAAAUAGCGCGAAUUGCAGACACAUUGAGCGCUAAAAUUUCGAACGCACAUUGCGCCAUCGGGUUCAUUCCCGUUGGCAUGCCUGUCUGAGGGUCAGAUACCCUAUGUUACCGCUCAUCGGUGUUAGGAUGUUCGCGCAAAGGUCGUCUUUUUGCGCGAAGCCCCUAGCGCCCGCUCGGAGUCGGUUAGUCGGAGCGCUACUUGGUCACAAAGUACCGCUCUUAGAUGGAAUAGUUCUUCGGAACUCGCGUUUAAUUCGAACGCGUCGCAUUGUACAUGGUGGCUUCGGCUGGGUUCGCGCCGCUCGUUUUUAGCUCGAACCGCUAAGCUUAUUCCACCGUCGUGCGAACUCUAUCAAUUGACCUCAGAUCAGACAUGACUACCCGCUGAA
rnacentral:misc_RNA from 1 species